rnacentral:misc_RNA from 1 species
GAUGAAGAACGUAGCGAAAUGUGAUACGUAAUGUGAAUUGCAAAUUCAGUGAAUCAUCGAGUCUUUGAACGCACAUUGCGCCCCCUGGUAUUCCGGGGGGCAUGCCUGUCCGAGCGUCAUUGCUGCCCUCAAGCACGGCUUGUGUGUUGGGCCCCGUCCUCCGAUCCCGGGGGACGGGCCCGAAAGGCAGCGGCGGCACCGCGUCCGGUCCUCGAGCGUAUGGGGCUUUGUCACCCGCUCUGUAGGCCCGGCCGGCGCUUGCCGAUCAACCCAAAUUUUUAUCCAGGUUGACCUCGGAUCAGGUAGGGAUACCCGCUGAUCUUAAGCAUAUCAAUAAGCGGAGGA